CCCCAGUGACGCGAGCGCAGGAGGGCGCGCCCCGCACCUGUGAGCCGGGGGCCCGAGCGGGGCUGACGGGCAGGGUCGAGGUGGCCAAGAUCCUACCGAGGUGUUAGAUUAACAAAGCGAGGUCACCACGGAACACACCGUAGCCGUUCGUAAGCCACGACCAUGACCUAGACAAGUGCUCGCGAAUGCGGGUCUGAAGCCUUCAAGUGGAUUAUACUGCAUAGAGAGACUUACCGGAGGGCACUGAGCCAGCUUAUCUGCUGCUACCAUCUG